rnacentral:lncRNA from 1 species
UUCCUGCAGAUUCUGAUCAGUAUGUUCUUCCUUCAGCAUCAUAGACAGAUAUAGAAAAGAGCAUUUAUUAAUAAACAGCUGUAGAACAAUGAACAGUUAACUCAUAUCAAAGCUCAGCUGCUGUAAUUUAACAAUUUUCAUUUUAUUCAAAGAUUUUCCAUAAACUUCAAGACUGGAUCAUCAGAUGGGGACGACGUCGCUCUCCACUUCAACCCACUCAUUGGUCAGAAAGUGACUCUGAGCAGCUGCAGGAACGGGAAGUGGGAGAGUGAGGAAUCAGCUUCAGCCGAGCCGUUCACCAGUGGAGCUCCCUUCACCAUGUUUGUGAUCAUCAGUGCAGAGGGUUAUGAGGUUAAUGUGAAUGGAAUGGAACUCUGCAAGUUCAAACAUCGCGUACCAUUAGAGAAAGUAUCAGUUCUUAACAUUGCUGGAGGUGUGACCAUUGACAUGGUCGGGUUUGUCAUGAACUGGAGCAAAGCAGCUGUCUUUGAGGAGUCUGAGAUGGUCGUCAUGUGAGAGCUGGUUAUAAGAGAAACCCUUCACUAAGAUAUUGAACAUUAAUAUGAUUUUCUUCUUUACAUGCUUUUUUAGUGUUAUGCUCUAUUUUAUGAUUCCUAAAACACUCAGAACUUCAAAACAAGAGAGAAUUGAUGUGCAUGAUAUGUUUUUCUGACAAAAGGAAGAUUUACAAAACAGAUAGUUUCACCUGUAUACAGAGACAGGUGGCGUGCUUGCAGAAAUGGCUUCUUUCUCAUCACUCUCCCAUACAGCUUCUCCUUGUGUAAAGUGCGCUGUAUUGUUGACCGAUGCACAG